AUGAGGUCGUUGACUAUUAUUUUGCAGAAAAUUCUCUCUCUCUCUGUGUAGUAUAUUGCUGAAACUAAUCGCACCUUACUAAGUUUGGUCUUCAUUCACCGCUGUUCUAGUUGUACAGAGGAAAUCUUUCUCUACAACCCCAAACCUGAGUUCUCGUUAACAGUUGGGUUGCGAGGUUUCAACUUUUUCAAGGACUGAGCAGCUUCCUUUUCUGGUUUGAGCAGCUUCCUUUGCGAGAUUAUGAAUGAAUGUUUGCAUGUGUGUUGUAUUGGUUUGUCGGACUUAUACGAUUGACUGUGGCUAAUUUGGUCUGUGUUUUAAUGCUCUAGAGGAAGAUACUGUGUGCAGCGAACAUCAGAAUGAAGAAGAAUCUGUAUUGCUUGAUCUUGUUUCGGCAUCCUCGCAGCUUCAAAUACCAGCAAUUGCAUCGUAUGUUCUUUCCGAAGGCAUCAAUUGAGUUAAGGCUUUGGAGCUUGUACAAUUGGAGACGGUCAAACUGGACAAGCAAUCACAUUCCUUUAACAAUAAAAUUGCAAAAGCAUGGCGUAAGUUUCAGAUGGCAAGCACAGCAAAUGUAACUCCCAUGGGGGAAACAAUUAAGAUAAACGAAUGGGCUCAACAUCAAUUUAUCUUACAUGUAUUUUUUAAGAAAAGAAUACAACCCAUUGCAGCACAAGAUUAGGGCUAUCAAUCUAUGGACAGUCUAAGGUGCGACUUCCACUAAAAUUAGGCUUUGGAAUGUGAAGGUUAUCAGUGAGACUUCCAUCUGACCGCAAAGCUUAAUUCUACAACUAGCAGAAACUGCAGAAAAUUGGAAAAGGAUAGAGAAACAAGGGAAGACAGGCGCAAGAUUUUGGUUUAUGGGUUCCUGUAGUACAGGCAUUUUGCACCUUGGGAACUACAAUUCUUAGUUUUCGUUCUGAAAUCAUGUACACAGUUACAUUAAGCUCAUCAUGAACCUUCUAGCUUACUAAAGUUAAUGAAUUUUUUUUAUUA